rnacentral:tRNA from 1 species
UCCAGUGUAGCCUAGUGGACAUCGCAUUUGCCCAAUAAGCGAAACACUGUGGGCUCGAUUCCCACCCCUGAAC